UACGGAGGAUGCAAGCGUUAUCCGGAAUGAUUGGGCGUAAAGCGUCCGCAGGUGGCAAUGUAAGUCUGCUGUUAAAGAGUCUAGCUCAACUAGAUAAAAGCAGUGGAAACUACAUAGCUAGAGUACGUUCGGGGCAGAGGGAAUUCCUGGUGUAGCGGUGAAAUGCGUAGAGAUCAGAAAGAACACCGGUGGCGAAGGCGCUCUGCUAGGCCGUAACUGACACUGAGGGACGAAAGCUAGGGGAGCGAAUGGG
rnacentral:rRNA from 1 species